rnacentral:rRNA from 1 species
AAUCAACGCUGGCGGCGUGCCUAACACAUGCAAGUCGAACGCGAAAGUUCCUUCGGGAAUGAGUAGAGUGGCGUCCGGGUGAGUAACGCGUGGGUAAUCUACCCUUGGGUGGGAAGUAACCAGUCGAAGAUUGGCUAAUACCGCAUAAUGCAGCGGCUCGACAUCGAGACAGUUGUUAAAGCCUCUUCGCAAGAAGGGGCGGCCUAAGGAGGAGCCUGCGUCUGAUUA